rnacentral:rRNA from 1 species
UGGCAAGUCGAACGGUGAAGAGGAGCUUGCUUCUUGGAUCAGUGGCGAACGGGUGAGUAACACGUGAGUAACCUGCCCUUGACUCUGGGAUAACUGCUAGAAAUGGUAGCUAAUACCGGAUACGACCCUCGGCCGCAUGGUCAGGGGGUGGAAAGAAUUUUGGUCAAGGAUGGACUCGCGGCCUAUCAGGUAGUUGGUGAGGUAAUGGCUCACCAAGCCUACGACGGGUAGCCGGCCUGAGAGGGUGACCGGCCACACUGGGACUGAGACACGGCCCAGACUCCUACGGGAGGCAGCAGUGGGGAAUAUUGCACAAUGGGCGAAAGCCUGAUGCAGCAACGCCGCGUGAGGGACGACGGCCUUCGGGUUGUAAACCUCUUUUAGUAGGGAAGAAGCGAAAGUGACGGUACCUGCAGAAAAAGCACCGGCUAACUACGUGCCAGCAGCCGCGGUAAUACGUAGGGUGCAAGCGUUGUCCGGAAUUAUUGGGCGUAAAGAGCUCGUAGGCGGUUUGUCGCGUCUGCUGUGAAAUCCGGAGGCUCAACCUCCGGCCUGCAGUGGGUACGGGCAGACUAGAGUGCGGUAGGGGAGAUUGGAAUUCCUGGUGUAGCGGUGGAAUGCGCAGAUAUCAGGAGGAACACCAAUGGCGAAGGCAGAUCUCUGGGCCGUAACUGACGCUGAGGAGCGAAAGCAUGGGGAGCGAACAGGAUUAGAUACCCUGGUAGUCCAUGCCGUAAACGUUGGGAACUAGAUGUGGGGGCCAUUCCACGGUCUCCGUGUCGCAGCUAACGCAUUAAGUUCCCCGCCUGGGGAGUACGGCCGCAAGGCUAAAACUCAAAGGAAUUGACGGGGGCCCGCACAAGCGGCGGAGCAUGCGGAUUAAUUCGAUGCAACGCGAAGAACCUUACCAAGGCUUGACAUAUAGAGGUA